rnacentral:rRNA from 1 species
CUCAGAACGAACGCUGGCGGCGCGUUUAAGCAUGCAAGUCGAGCGGCAAGGGCCUUCGGGCCCCUAGAGCGGCGGACGGGUGAGUAACACGUGGACAAUCUGCCCCCCGGCCCGGGAUAGCCCAGGGAAACCUGGAUUAAUACCGGAUGAGACGGGACCCGCGAUGGCGGGACCCGGGAAAGGCGCUGCGGCGCCGCCGGGGGAUGAGUCUGCGUCCCAUUAGCUAGGCGGCGGGGUAACGGCCCACCGUGGCGACGAUGGGUAGCCGGCCUGAGAGGGUGGACGGCCACAUUGGAACUGAGACACGGUCCAGACUCCUACGGGAGGCAGCAGCUAAGAAUCUUCCGCAAUGGGCGAAAGCCUGACGGAGCGACGCCGCGUGAACGAAGAAGGCCGUGAGGUUGUAAAGUUCUUUUCGGGAGGGGGAACAACCGUGGCAGGGAAUGGCCGCGGGAUGACGUGAAUCCCGGAAUAAGCCCCGGCUAACUACGUGCCAGCAGCAGC